CUAAAAGCGGCGUAAAACUAAACUCAGUCAGUCAGUCAUAGUGGAUUCAUUGCAGCCCUAAUGUGAACCUUCAGCAGCCUGUGAUUUAGAAAUACAAUCCGACAUAAACUUACAAGUAAAUCUUGUCUUAAUUGAUCAUUUGCAGAUAAUUUGCUUUUCAUGCGGAAGACCUGGGUUUGAAGCCCAUUGAUGUCCUAGCCAUGAUAUUGCUGGAGUUUUGCUUAAGCAUCAUAACUCACCCACCCAUACUAGUAUUGUGUGGGGCAGUGGGGUAGCCCAGUGGUUAAAGCGUUUGCUCAUCAAGCUGAAGACCUGGGUUGAAUUCCCCACAUGGGUACAAUGUGUGAAGCCCAUUUCUGGUGUCUCCCGCCGUAAUAUUGCUGGAAUAUUGCUAAAAGCGGUGUAAAACCAUACUCACUCACUCAGUAGUCUGUACUUGGUGAUGUGCGACAUCAGUCUGUGCCAGGACCAACGAGCUACCUUCAUAAUCUCCGCUGCUGGCAUGUCCUCCCUACCUGCAGCAUUGUGCUGUGGGUGUGGGUGUGAAAGACAUGACCCACCCACCCAGCCAGCCAGUUCAGUACCAGUGUCAUCCUAUGGGCCAUUGUGGCUGUAGGUACAGGCAGAUGUGGCCGAUGAAUGCUGAUUAUUUUGACCACUCGGUAAUGAGGCAGAUCUCAGAUAAAAUGACACUUUUGAUGACAACAUCAAUCUUCUUAACAUAAAAGAAACUCUUUCCAAGCUUGUUUGAUAGUUUCAAGUGUAAACGCAUUUUCAUUGUGCUUGAUGUGAGUUUGGAGAGUUGACUAUAGAUGAAGUCAACAAAAUGAUUUAGAGAGGAGUUGUCUCCCAUACGCUGCUCAAUCAUAGACCACUGAAGAGACAACUGACUUCUCCCUUUGUUCUGGAUGAAGACAUUGUAGUGGGACUUCUUCCUUUGUUCUGGAUGAAGCACACAGGAGAUCAGGUUCUCGAUCCACAAAACGUUCGUAACGUUACGGCUUGACGUAACUCUAUAGUUUACCAUAGGCUUAUGAAUGUCGUAGCUGCUACCAACACUG